CGAUGGGAAACAGGUUAAUAUUCCUGUACUUGGUGUUACUGCGAAGGGGGGACGGAGAAGGCUAGGCUAGCCGGGCGACGGUUGUCCCGGUUUAAGCGUGUAGGGGGUGUGACCUGGUAAAUCCGGUUGCAUACUAACCCUGAGGCGUGAUGACGAUGCACUACGGUGCAGAAGUAGUUGAUGCCCUGCUUCCAGGAAAAUCCUCUAAGCUCCAGGUAACAUUAAAUCGUACCCCAAACCGACACAGGUGGUCAGGUAGAGAAUACCAAGGCGCUUGAGAGAACUCGGGUGAAGGAACUAGGCAAAAUGGUGCCGUAACUUCGGGAGAAGGCACGCUGGCAUGUAGGUGAAGUCCCUUGCGGAUGGAGCUGAAGCCAGUCGAAGAUACCAGCUGGCUGCAACUGUUUAAUAAAAACACAGCACUGUGCAAACACGAAAGUGGACGUAUACGGUGUGACGCCUGCCCGGUGCUGGAAGGUUAAUUGAUGGGGUCAGCCGCAAGGCGAAGCUCUUGAUCGAAGCCCCAGUAAACGGCGGCCGUAACUAUAACGGUCCUAAGGUAGCGAAAUUCCUUGUCGGGUAAGUUCCGACCUGCACGAAUGGCGUAAUGAUGGCCAGGCUGUCUCCACCCGAGACUCAGUGAAAUUGAACUCGCUGUGAAGAUGCAGUGUACCCGCGGCAAGACGGAAAGACCCCGUGAACCUUUACUAUAGCUUGACACUGAACAUUGAGCCUUGAUGUGUAGGAUAGGUGGGAGGCUUUGAAGCGUGGACGCCAGUCUGCGUGGAGCCAUCCUUGAAAUACCACCCUUUAAUGUUUGAUGUUCUAACUCGGCCCCAUAAUCUGGGGUGAGGACAGUGUCUGGUGGGUAGUUUGACUGGGGCGGUCUCCUCCCAAAGAGUAACGGAGGAGCACGAAGGUUAGCUAAUCACGGUCGGACAUCGUGAGGUUAGUGCAAAGGCAUAAGCUAGCUUGACUGCGAGAGUGACGGCUCGAGCAGGUACGAAAGUAGGUCUUAGUGAUCCGGUGGUUCUGAAUGGAAGGGCCAUCGCUCAACGGAUAAAAGGUACUCCGGGGAUAACAGGCUGAUACCGCCCAAGAGUUCAUAUCGACGGCGGUGUUUGGCACCUCGAUGUCGGCUCAUCACAUCCUGGGGCUGAAGUAGGUCCCAAGGGUAUGGCUGUUCGCCAUUUAAAGUGGUACGCGAGCUGGGUUUAGAACGUCGUGAGACAGUUCGGUCCCUAUCUGCCGUGGGCGUUGGAAGAUUGAGAGGGGUUGCUCCUAGUACGAGAGGACCGGAGUGAACGCACCACUGGUGUUCGGGUUGUCAUGCCAAUGGCAUUGCCCGGUAGCUAAGUGCGGAAAAGAUAAGCGCUGAAAGCAUCUAAGCGCGAAACUUGCCUCAA
rnacentral:rRNA from 1 species